CACACGAUCAUCCGGCUUUUGCAGUUCUAGUAGAACACACGACUAAUGUGUUUGUUCGUCCGGAUUCAAAGAAACUCAACAGAAGAUGUUACAAGACCUGUUUGUGGUGCGUUUAUUUGGAGACAACGACGACGACGACGACGAACGACAAAGUUGAUGACAGCAAGGAUGUGAUCAUUUAUCAAGUUAUAUUUAUUGAUCACUUCACUUUUUUUUCUCUCUGGAUUCGAGAUAGAAAGUAUCGAAUGUCCGGUUAAUGUUUAUGGAUUCAAAGGAAAUAUUAAAGUUUGUUUACCAAAUGUCCCAAAAAAAAUUUUUUUUCAAGAGGUUUUACGGGAAUUUUAACCCGUUAUGAGAUGGGUGGUCGUAAAAAUUAUUAAAAAAAUAACAAA